rnacentral:rRNA from 1 species
AACGAACGCUGGCGGCAUGCCUAACACAUGCAAGUCGAACGACACCUUCGGGUCUAGUUGCGCACGGGUGCGUAACGCGUGGGAACCUGCCCUUAGGUUCGGAAUAACUCCCCGUAAGGGGUGCUAAUACCGGAUAAUGUCUUCGGACCAAAGAUUUAUCGCCUUUGGAUGGGCCCGCGUUGGAUUAGCUAGUUGGUAGGGUAAAAGCCUACCAAGGCGACGAUCCAUAGCUGGUCUGAGAGGAUGAUCAGCCACACUGGGACUGAGACACGGCCCAGAAUCCUACGGGAGGCAGCAGUGGGGAAUAUUGGACAAUGGGGGAAAGCCUGAUCCAGCAAUGCCGCGUGAGUGAUGAAGGCCGUAGGGUAGUAAAGCUCUUUUACCCGCGAUGAUAAUGACAGUACCGGGAGAAUAAGCACCGGCUAACUCCGUG